AUGGCCUGCCCACUGAUUGAAGGGCCGCGGUAAUUUGACCGUGCAAAGGUAGCAUAAUUAUUAGUCUUUUAAUUGGAGGCUGGAAUGAAUGGUUAGACGAGAUAUACUCUGUAUGAACUUAAUUAUUAGGUUAAAAAGCUUAAAUUUUUUUUUGGGACGAGAAGACCCUAUAGAUUUUAAUGUAUUUUAUUGGGGUGAUAGGAAGAUAAUAAACUUUUAUUGGAUCCAGUUGAUUAUAAGAUUAAAUUACCUUAGGGAUAACAGCGUAAUCUUUUUUGAGAGUUCAAAUCGACAAUAAGGGUUGCGACCUCGAGUGGGAUUAAAAA
rnacentral:rRNA from 1 species